GGGGGUGUCCUGGCUUCGACGGGGGUCGCGAAUUCGUUCGGUGCAUGCCGAGGGGGCAGCUUUCCUCGUAAAUCCAGCGGCAAACAAUCAGACGCCAACGACGACGUCUACGCUCUGGCCGCUUAAGGCCUAGCCCCGAAACCACUUGUGUCCGUGCUCGUGGAGGUAGGGUCAUCAUCACGGAAUCGCUGAAGCUCGCCGCCUGUCGGUCUUCGGCCAACUCAAAACAGGCUGGUCCGGCGGUGCGCUUUGCUCAUCGUGCUGCCGCAGGACGAGAUCCAACGAUGAGAUAAGCAUGUAGGGCCGGCGAUGCAGGGCCUUCGGACGCGGGUUCGACUCCCGCCACCUCCACCA
rnacentral:tmRNA from 1 species